UUGUCAUCAUCAACCUGGAAAAAAGCCACCCUGUUAGUUACAGUGCAUUAUCAUGAAAAAAAUAUGCAUGAAAAAAAUAUGCAUUAAUUGCAAACUUGCAUAUCCAAGGAACACAGAAUUAUUUGAUGGCUCUGCUGUGCAAAUAAGGGGUAUAUUGAUCCGCAUUUAACCAAUCCCAGUGAGCAUGCGCAAGCACACACGCACGCAGGCACACACGCGCACACACUCCUCUUUUUUUCUAGGCGGUUCCAAUCUGUUCUGUGUAUUCAUCUUUUUUUUACAGUCUGUCGUAUUCAUUCAUCCAGAUCAUCCAGUCAAAAGGCUUUUUCGACUUCAUACGGCGCCAAAAGAACUGACAGGCUGACGAUGACGUCAAAGUAUCGCGAAAGCGAUUCGAGGAGUCUGCUUUCAAAUCGCUCUCGCGGAACUUUGACGUCUGUCAGUUGAUCUGGUUUAAUGUGAUUCGCGCUCUUUAUCCGUUGCAACUUGCUGUCUGAGGUAAAUAAGACGAGAAAGUUGAACCUUGCUCAUUAAAUGGAUAAAAGAAAACCAUGUAAGAGUUGGUUUGGAUAAAUAUGCGAAGGACAAUAAAUGUUAAGUGACCCAAAGACGGUUGGUCUUGUGGACAACGAGGAACAAACCGCCUAAAGGCGGUUGGAAAGCGUUUCCAGCACAAAUACUCAACGUGAACGAGAGCCUUGGGUAAAAAAAGGCAGAGUACCAGUCAGUGGUUAAAGACACACAAAAUGUGGACAUCAAAACAAAUGGCUACAUUUGCUCGUGAGGAAGAUGAUAACGAAGAGGAUGAGACUCCUUCAAACCAAAAGGUGAAUAUGCAACC